AUUGAACGCUGGCGGUAUGCCUUACACAUGCAAGUCGAACGGUAGAGGGGCAACCCUUGAGAGUGGCGAACGGGUGAGUAAUACAUCGGAACGUGCCCAGUCGUGGGGGAUAACGUAGCGAAAGCUACGCUAAUACCGCAUACGACCUGAGGGUGAAAGCGGGGGAUCGCAAGACCUCGCGCGAUUGGAGCGGCCGAUGGCAGAUUAGGUAGUUGGUGGGGUAAAGGCCUACCAAGCCUGCGAUCUGUAGCUGGUCUGAGAGGACGACCAGCCACACUGGGACUGAGACACGGCCCAGACUCCUACGGGAGGCAGCAGUGGGGAAUUUUGGACAAUGGGCGAAAGCCUGAUCCAGCCAUACCGCGUGCGGGAAGAAGGCCUUCGGGUUGUAAACCGCUUUUGUCAGGGAAGAAAUCUUCUGGGUUAAUACCUCGGGAGGAUGACGGUACCUGAAGAAUAAGCACCGGCUAACUACGUGCCAGCCGCCGCCGUAA
rnacentral:rRNA from 1 species